GUCGAACGCUGGCGGCAGGCCUAACACAUGCAAGUCGAACGAGAGGCGGAAUGGUGAGUAAUGUCUUGGAAACUGCCUGACGUAGGGGGAUGACGACUGGAAACGGUAGCUAAUACCGCAUACCAUGGGAUGUGGCCAGAGGGGAUGAGCUAGUAGGUGGGGUAAAGGCUCACCUAGGCGACGAUCCCUAGCUGGUCUGAGAGGAUGACCAGCCACACUGGGACGGAGACACGGUCCAGACGCCUACGGGAGGCAGCAGUGGGGAAUAGUGAACAAUGGGCGAAAGCCUGAUCCAGCCACGCCGCGUGUAUGAAGAAGGCCUUCGGGUUGUAAAGUACUUGUGGCGGUGAGGCGUUAACCACAGAACAAGCAACGGCUAACUCCGUGCCAGCAGCCGCGGUAAUUC
rnacentral:rRNA from 1 species